CAGUCGAACGAAGCACUUAAGAUUGACUCUUCGGAUGAUUUCUUUUGUGACUUAUUGGCGGACGGGUGAGUAACGCGUGGGUAACCUGCCUCACACAGGGGGAUAACAGUUAGAAAUGACUGCUAAUACCGCAUAACCCGAUAGGAUCGCAUGAUCCAGACGGAAAAGAUUUAUCGGUGUGAGAUGGAUCCGCGUCUGAUUAGCUAGUUGGUGAGGUAACGGCCCACCAAGGCGACGAUCAGUAGCCGGCCUGAGAGGGCGAACGGCCACAUUGGGACUGAGACACGGCCCAAACUCCUACGGGAGGCAGCAGUGGGGAAUAUUGCACAAUGGGGGAAACCCUGAUGCAGCGACGCCGCGUGAGUGAAGAAGUAUUUCGGUAUGUAAAGCUCUAUCAGCAGGGAAGAAAAUGACGGUACCUGACUAAGAAGCCCCGGCUAACUACGUGCCAGCAGCCGCGGUAAUACGUAGGGGGCAAGCGUUAUCCGGAUUUACUGGGUGUAAAGGGAGCGUAGACGGUCAAGCAAGUCAGAAGUGAAAGGCUGGGGCUCAACCCCGGGACUGCUUUUGAAACUGUUUGACUGGAGUGCUGGAGAGGUAAGCGGAAUUCCUAGUGUAGCGGUGAAAUGCGUAGAUAUUAGGAGGAACACCAGUGGCGAAGGCGGCUUACUGGACAGUAACUGACGUUGAGGCUCGAAAGCGUGGGGAGCAAACAGGAUUAGAUACCCUGGUAGUCCACGCC
rnacentral:rRNA from 1 species